CUACGGGGUGCACCAGUGGGGAAUAUUGCACAAUGGGCGCAAGCCUGAUGCAGCCAUGCCGCGUGUAUGAAGAAGGCCUUCGGGUUGUAAAGUACUUUCAGCGGGGAGGAAGGGAGUAAAGUUAAUACCUUUGCUCAUUGACGUUACCCGCAGAAGAAGCACCGGCUAACUCCGUGCCAGCAGCCGCGGUAAUACGGAGGGUGCAAGCGUUAAUCGGAAUUACUGGGCGUAAAGCGCACGCAGGCGGUUUGUUAAGUCAGAUGUGAAAUCCCCGGGCGCAACCUGGGAACUACAUCUGAUACUGGCAAGCUUGAGUCUCGUAGAGGGGGGUAGAAUUCCAGGUGUAGCGGUGAAAUGCGUAGAGAUCUGGAGGAAUACCGGUGGCGAAGGCGGCCCCCUGGACGAAGACUGACGCUCAGGUGCGAAAGCGUGGGGAGCAAACAGGAUUAGAUACCCCGGUAGUC
rnacentral:rRNA from 1 species